UACGGAGGGGGCUAGCGUUGUUCGGAAUUACUGGGCGUAAAGCGCACGUAGGCGGCUUUGUAAGUUAGAGGUGAAAGCCCGGGGCUCAACUCCGGAAUUGCCUUUAAGACUGCAUCGCUCGAAUUGUGGAGAGGUAAGUGGAAUUCCGAGUGUAGAGGUGAAAUUCGUAGAUAUCGAGAGGAACACCGGUGGCGAAGGCGGCCUUCUGGACAGUGACUGACGCUGAGACGCGAAAGCGUGGGGAGCAAACAGG
rnacentral:rRNA from 1 species